rnacentral:rRNA from 1 species
AACGAACGCUGGCGGCAGGCCUAACACAUGCAAGUCGAGCGAACCGCAAGGUUAGCGGCGGACGGGUUAGUAACGCGUGGGAACGUGCCCAAAGGUACGGAAUAGCCUCGGGAAACUGAGAGUAAUACCGUAUGUGCCCGAAAGGGGAAAGAUUUAUCGCCUUUGGAUCGGCCCGCGGUGGAUUAGGUAGUUGGUGGGGUAACGGCCUACCAAGCCGACGAUCCAUAGCUGGUUUGAGAGGAUGAUCAGCGACACUGGGACUGAGACACGGCCCAGACUCCUACGGGAGGCAGCAGUGGGGAAUCUUAGACAAUGGGGGAAACCCUGAUCUAGCCAUGCCGCGUGAGCGAUGAAGGCCUUAGGGUUGUAAAGCUCUUUCACCGGGGAAGAUAAUGACGGUACCCGGAGAAGAAGCCCCGGCUAACUCCGUGCCAGCAGCCGCCGUAA